CCGCAGCCCCCCUGGUGAUUUAGAAAUGUUCGCCAGGCAGACUCAGCCCCUGAGAGCCAGGUCAAAGAAGGGGGGGGGUGCUGAAGGCCUGAGCUGCCCGCAAGGCCCGGAAGCUCCUGGUGGAGAAGAAGCGGUGUGCACGCGGAUCAACGAGAGUCUACAGGAGCUGCAGCAGCUGCUGGUGGGCACCGAGGUGCAGGCUAAGCUGGAGAACGCUGAGAAACCUGUCUGAGCUCUGAAGACUUGAAGCCAAUAAGAGUGCCACGGAGAAAGCCUGGUAUCCUGCUUGGGAGCCCUGAAGAUGGCUGGCGCUGGAGCGUCAGGCCCAUGCCCUACCAUCACUGGCGGUUGACCAUUUGUUAUAGUUUGUCUCUGCCAGGUCACAAGCCCAGCUCCUUCUGUGCCCAGGACAGCAGGGAGCCUGACUGGAAGGUGACCUCUGACUAGACACAUCCACUGCAGAUCACCCUCAAGAAGACAGCGGACCUCGGCGGACCCCUUGUAAUCCUCCUGCUGCUGUUGACUUUCAGCCCUUGCGUUAUUAACAGACUAGUCCAAUUUGUCAAGAAGUGUAUAAAAGUAGUUCAGUUGAUAGUUCAGUCCGUCUCAUGAUUGAGCCAGAAGUUCCAAGACAAGGGGGGAAUGAAAGGACAGAACAGGACUGAUAGCUGUGUCCUUAUCCCCUCUUCCAAGAAAAAGCCACUGAAUGUAUCAGUUACUCAGCCUGCCCUUAUCUCAGCCAAUGGGAAAGCGGGGAAAACUAGCCCAAGGCCAAGAGUAUGCUAGCCACCCCCCUGUCUUUGUGUAACCAGACCCUAGCUGCACCCUGCCCUUGUGUCACUAGCCCCCGGCCCUCACUCAACCAACCGGAAUUGGCCAAAUCAGUGGUCAGAGUGUGCCCCCACCCCCCGACCCCAAGCCCUAUAAAUUCUUUGUUCCCUUGGGACUCAGGGCUCUCUCUUGCAUCCAGUAAUGGAGGCAUGGGGGGGACCAAGUCCCGGGCUUGAAUAAAAGACUCUAUGCUUUUGCAUCGGACUCGGCUCCCU